CUACGGGAGGCUGCGGUCGAGAAUCUUCCACAAUGGGCGAAAGCCUGAUGGAGCGACGUCGCGUGCAGGAUGAAGGCCUUCGGGUCGUAAACUGCUUUUGUCGCCGAUGAACCCUAAGAGCAAUCGAGGGGUGACAGUAGGCGAAGAAUAAGGGGCUGCUAAUCACGUGCCAGCAGCAGCGGUUACCGUGAGCCCCGAGCGUUAUCCGAAAUUAUUGGGCGUAAAGCGCGUGUAGGCGGCUUUGUUAGUCCUCUGUUAAAUACCGGAGCUCAACUCCGGGACUGCGGAGGAAACGGCAAGGCUAGAGGGCGUGAGAGGCUGAUGGAACUCACGGUGUAGGAGUGAAAUCCGUUGAUAUCGUGGGGAACACCAAAGGCGAAGGCAUUCAGCUGGCGCGACCCUGACGCUAAGACGCGAAAGCGUGGGGAGUGAAGCGGAUUAGAUACCCUUGUAGUC
rnacentral:rRNA from 1 species